UGUCACUGAAGUACAGAAAGACACAAACUUUCACUGUGGUGUUUCAUACUAAACAACACAGACAGUUUCUUCUUAUCUUCAAGAUGGUGUCAAUGCAAUUAAGUCUGUUUUCAACUUUGUUUCUGAUCACACUAACAGGUGUCAGCUGUGAAGAACUCACUGCAGUCAAGAAUGAAGAGAACAGUUUGGAGGGCAGCACUGUUACUCUGUCCUAUGAAUACCCAAAACUUUCAUCUAGUAAUUAUUUCUUCUGGUAUCGACAAUAUCCAGGAAAACCACCAGAGUUCCUCAUCCAGCACUCGGCUUCUGGAGCAGUAGCAAAUCCAAAACCUGGACUGGAGAUUACAGUGAAGGACAAACAAAUCCAUCUGCAGAUCUCCUCUGCUGCAGUGUCUGACUCUGCUGUGUACUACUGUGCUCUGCAGCCUUUGCCCUGGGGACUGAGAGCAACAGCUGCUCCACAGAUCUUAGAGAACAAGCUGGGGUGCAAGGGAUGA